UGAAUCCGAUCAGGCGGACGGAGAGCAGGAGUCACGAUGGCCUUCUCACGCACUGUGGAAAGAGAAAAACGUCAGGACGAGCAGAUCGAAACACGUCUGUGAGCCCGUGGGGUCGAAUGUCUUCAGCCUUGUAGCCGAGAGGAGCUUCGAAAGUCAGCGAUUUACUGUUGCUAGCAAGGGACUCGGCAUCCAUUUCAGUUGUUGGCAACACCUCUGAAGAGCAGGGCAGCAUCAGGACAGAGCAUUCUCAAGCCGCAAGCAGGCAGUCAGUGCGUACUAUGCAAAGGCCUUCAACAAGAAGAAGAAGAAGAAAAAAAAGGAAUUUUGCUGGCCACAAGUCACAGCAGGGCCACCGGAUGACCAACUCUUAUACUGUCGAAAAAGGCGGGGUAUUGAUAUCGAGCAUCACAAUCUGGAGAGCAAAGUCAGCCAAUGAAGGAACCGAGCAUUAGGCCUGACCCGUGAGCGGCAGACAAGCCGGAGUUGCGUCUGAGGGAUGAGAAGCUGGGAAACUGGGACAGGAGGACGCACGCAGUGGAAUGGAAUGAAAGGAUCUUCCUCGACAGGGAGGAAAUGAUGAGCAAACAAAAUCCGCAGAAUGCCUUGGCCGAAUCGUCCUUGCCGGGAAUUUGCAGCGGAGUAAAGCAGGGACAGGGAGGCGCAAGUGGAGUUGCAGAAAAUGAAGGAAAAAAGCGGGGCAGCACUAGAGAGAGCUCGAGCAGCAGCACACAAAGCAGCGCUACUGUUCUAUAAAAUGGACAAGGGGAGGUGACCAGGAAUAUGUGGGGGGGAGCUCAAAACGUUCUUCUUUCAAGUUCCACGGGGAUUGCCAAGCCUGAUGGAAGAUGAUGGUGAAACGGGGUCCGCUUAGAGACGACGAAGUUGCAAUAGCGAUGGCAAAGGCGUUGGCAGUGCUAAAGAAGGCACGAAGGCAUGCUUUGUUUGCAAAGCAGGGAGUGGGACCGGAUGAACAUUAGGAAUGGGGGAAAGAAUCGCGCAUUUGGCAGAGUUAUAUACCAGGACAUUCUUCCGAGGGAUGAAUCGAAAUCGAGAGCACGCCGGGGUGGAGGAUAUUAUUUUCUCUCUACUGGGAGCCACGAAUGCGUGGGGAAAGGCAAAGCUGGAAUAUGUUUGCAGAUUGAGAUAUGGGUGAAGCACUCGCGGAGAGCACGCGUCGUGCUUCCAGGACACGGGAGCUUGGAAGUUUACGGAGAAAUAAGUGAAUGUGACACGACAAAGUUUAUGCGCUCCUCAAGCAAACAAGCGCAGUGACCGCUGCGGCUGGCCAAUGCACAGUCCUCCUCUGGAGCACUCGACGCCACAGACAAGGCCGGUUGCAUCACCAACGAAAGAUUCGACAGGGCCUCACAGAGAGCGGAAAAGAUCUUUGGAGCAUAAUGCACGGAAAAAAUACGAAACAGCAACAAAAAAAAAACAAAGAAUGGGGAAUAAGGAGAAUAUGGGGAACAGAACAAACUGAAGAUGGGGGACCGCCAUUUGUGAUCAAUCAUGCAGGCUGCGCGUGUGCAUUACGUGGGAUAGGGGCAUGCACGCGUGUGUGCACGAUGGAACCAACGAAAGGAUUUUAACUCCCGGCCUCUCUUCUACCACUAGGCAGACCACUCUGCGUUUGCGCAUGGAUAUGCUGCAAGGCUAGCGGGUGACACUGCGUAAUGGCUUCCAUGUUUGCGGUACAUCAUGCUGGAUAUACUGGAGACUUUUAACUUUUGGCUAUAGGAAGAGGAGAAAAGCUGUAGGCGAAAGAAAAGGAGCAAAAGAGAUGAGGAUUGAGCACACUCACGCAGCGCAGAAUGUCAACUGGGUGAGAAAAUUCAGCGGGGACACGGAAUCAAGCUAGGCAUGAUGUGUUAGGAUGGGAUUUGACCUGUGCACGACAAGGAUAUACUAGCUCGGGAACAAACUUCUUGGAGAGGGAAUUUCAACUCGGAAGCAGACAACAGGUGGUGUCCAAGCAACUCACACAAGUCUCCACUCGCACAAGUCUUCACCGGCAUAUCUACGUCUAUUAUACUCGCGAGACAGCGAAAGAAAGCAAGAGUGCAUGAUCCGGGGCCGAGAACCAAGCAAGCCAAACAAAAGUCACGUAGUCACCAAAGCUCGUUUGCACGACCCAAGCAACCAACCAUAGCCAUAACUCUGCAAGGCGAGAGAACCGGAAGAAAACGAGAACUCGAAAGAGCUAUAGCGAAGAACUUUGAGGAUGCUGCUUGCUUCUCU